UGUGCAGUUUGAGCUGUCAGAGAUCCCGAACAAUGUCAUUGUGAUCAGAAGGCACUGCAGCACUCAACUUUCCCUGGCGCUCUCCUCUUCGCUCUCCUUCACCGCCAGCUUUCCCAGGGCACAAGGCAGGCAGAGCAAAGCAAGUUCCCCAAGAACACCGGCGCCCCUAGGCACGUGUCUACUGUGCCCAAUUGGAAAUUGGAAAACCGUUCAUAGAGUUUAAGGACAGACGGGACCAUUUAAGAUCAUCUGCUCUGACCUCCUGCUUAACACAGGCCACAGAACUUCAUCUGGUGAUUCCAUCGUCAAGCCCAAUAAUGGGUCGGACUUGGGGAUGCCUUUUAGGAAGACAUCCAGUCUUGAUACUCUCCUGCCAUUUUUAGGUCAGAGAAAGAAAGAGGGAGACAGAACCACCUGCCGCAGCUCACAUCCCGUCAGUUGAUGCCAG